rnacentral:rRNA from 1 species
GACGAACGCUGGCGGUGUGCUUAACACAUGCAAGUCGAACGGUAAGGCCCUUUCGGGGGUACACGAGUGGCGAACGGGUGAGUAACACGUGAGUAACCUGCCCUCAUCUCUGGGAUAACAGUCGGAAACGGUUGCUAAUACUGGAUAUGAGCUUGCAAGGCAUCUUGUGGGUUGGAAAGAUUUUUUUUGGUUGGGGAUGGACUCGCGGCCUAUCAGCUUGUUGGUGAGGUAGUGGCUCACCAAGGCUUCGACGGGUAGCCGGCCUGAGAGGGCGACCGGCCACAUUGGGACUGAGAUACGGCCCAAACUCCUACGGGAGGCAGCGGUGGGGAAUAUUGCACAAUGGACGGAAGUCUGAUGCAGCAACGCCGCGUGCGGGAUGACGGCCUUCGGGUUGUAAACCGCUUUCAAUUGUGACGAAGCUUUUUUGUGACGGUAGCAGUAGAAGAAGCACCGGCUAACUACGU